CUGGUUGAUCCUGCCAGUAGUCAUAUGCUUGUCUCAAAGAUUAAGCCAUGCAUGUCUAAGCACAAGCCUAAGAAUGGUAAAGCCGCGAAUGGCUCAUUACAACAGCCAUAGUUUACUGGAUCUUACUUUCCUACUUGGAUAACUGUGGUAAUUCUAGAGCUAAUACACGCAUGAAAGCUCUGACCUUUUGGAAGGAGCGCAUUUAUUAGAACAAAACCAAUCGGGCCUUCGGGCCCGCCAAUUGGUGAAUCUGAAUAACUUUGCAGAUCGCACGGUCUCGUACCGGCGACGUAUCUUUCAAAUGUCUGCCUUAUCAACUUUAGAUGGUAGUUUACACGCCUACCAUGGUUGUAACGGGUAACGGAGAAUAAGGGUUCGACUCCGGAGAGGGAGCCUGAGAAAUGGCUACCACAUCCAAGGAAGGCAGCAGGCACGCAAAUUACCCACUCCCGGCACGGGGAGGUAGUGACGAAAAAUAACGAGGCGGUUCUCUACGAGGCCCGCCAUCGGAAUGGGUACAAUUUAAAUCCUUUAACGAGGAUCUAUUGGAGGGCAAGUCUGGU
rnacentral:rRNA from 1 species